rnacentral:rRNA from 1 species
AAAACGGGUGGUAAUGCCGGAUGCUCCAGUUGAUCGCAUGGUCUUCUGGGAAAGCUUUCGCGGUAUGGGAUGGGGUCGCGUCCUAUCAGCUUGACGGCGGGGUAACGGCCCACCGUGGCUUCGACGGGUAGCCGGCCUGAGAGGGCGACCGGCCACAUUGGGACUGAGAUACGGCCCAGACUCCUACGGGAGGCAGCAGUGGGGAAUAUUGCACAAUGGGCGCAAGCCUGAUGCAGCGACGCCGCGUGAGGGAUGGAGGCCUUCGGGUUGUAAACCUCUUUUAUCGGGGAGCAAGCGAGAGUGAGUUUACCCGUUGAAUAAGCACCGGCUAACUACGUGCCAGCAGCCGCGGUAAUACGUAGGGUGCAAGCGUUAUCCGGAAUUAUUGGGCGUAAAGGGCUCGUAGGCGGUUCGUCGCGUCCGGUGUGAAAGUCCAUCGCUUAACGGUGGAUCCGCGCCGGGUACGGGCGGGCUUGAGUGCGGUAGGGGAGACUGGAAUUCCCGGUGUAACGGUGGAAUGUGUAGAUAU